CUUAUUUGUUGUUUGCAGAGAAGGCUUUACAGUACUUUGCAGUUUACAUACAACGUUUUUUCUAACUCUCUUAUGUUUGUUUUACUUAUCUAAUGGCUUUAUACAAUCAAACAAAACUUUAGUAUUGUACAAUAAUUCUGACUUCAUGCUAAUGAGAAUGCUAUCUUGUUAAUGACCUGAAAUUCAUCUUUAGAUGAUUUGUGGAGAAAUUAUUGUUAUUGACUUUUUCCUUCUGCAGACUCCAUAUCUUAUUUGUUUUUAAAGAUACUAACUUAAAUUGAUUCAUUUUCUAUAUACUGAAUAUUGUUAAAACAAUAUUGAUGACUGAUAUAUUUAGUCAUCACUUUCUUGUGUUUUAACCACUGUUCUAACCUGUAUCCAUUGGGGGAUAUUUCAAGAAAACAGAUACUGUUUCAAGGGUAAUUACUGAUUUAUAUUCUCAUUAACAUAUGUGUUUACACUUUAGGUUUCCUUGGAUUUCUUUUGAUUCUGCUCGUUGUUCCUUUUUCCUAUGCAUAUACUUCUUUGAGAAUUGGAACUAAAGAGGCAUAGGGCAUGGGAAAAUGGGGCGACUGAGGUACUCCACCGCUCACUCUACAAAGCAUCUUUGGGAGGCAUGUGGGGGAAAAAAUGAAAGCAUAGUAUUUGGAAAGUGCGACCUGUAACCUGACUCCAAUUUUUCACUCAACAGGAAAAUAGCCAUUCAUCGCAGUGCUUUUAUGUCUAAUUAAUUUUAUUUAGUUUUGAUACAGAUAUGUGAUUUCUGGAAAAAGGGUCCAUAGAAAAUGAAAUAAAUUUGAAUUAUAUGUACUACAAGUGAAAUAGAAAUCUAAUAUUUUAAUCAUAAAUCAGAAGUUUGCCUAAUACUGUAUCACAAAAUCUAACAACACUACUUUGGUUAUUGCUACAUGUUUAUAUAAAGCAGGGCCAUGUCAUAUUACAUGGCAUUCAAUUUCUAACAUAUACUGUUAUUAUGCCACACAAUACAGGCUAAUUUAAAAUUAUACUUAAACUAAGUCAAUACAGAGAUACAAAGCCAUAUUUUCUAUUGCCUUUAGCAUGUAGAGUUUUGGAGAACUUUCAUUUUACUUGUGAGUCAUUCUUUUCCAUAUAUUAAAGAAUAAUAAAAAUAUUCUACCCACAA